GGGUCAGUAGGUUGGUCGUGCCACUGGUAUGUACUGGCUUCACUGAUUCCUCCCUCUUGUAGAACCGUAAUGCCAUUAAGUUGGUGUUGCGGGGAAACAGGACUGUUACUUUGAAAAAAUUAGAGUGUUUAAAGCAAGCUAACGCUUGAAUACAUUAGCAUGGAAUAAUGAAAUAGGACGUUCGAUCCUAUUUUGUUGGUUUCUAGGAUUGACGUA
rnacentral:rRNA from 1 species